GCUUUUCUGAAUAUGCAAAUCCUACAUCAGAGGGCAGGAAAAGAAGGGGCACUGAGGACCCUGGGGCCCUUCAGACCAUCACACCCAGCUCCUGCGUGGGAGGUCAUUGAGACAAUUCCAGGAUUUGGAGUCGGGAACCUCAUUUCAAAGCUGGGGUCUGCUGCUAUAUGACCUUGGACAAGUGGUUUAACCUCCUGAUCUGAGUUUCCUCAUCUGUAAAAUGUUGGACUAAAUGACUUCUAAGUUUCCAAAUCUAGGAACCUGCUCUAUCUCCUGCCUUUCUGGUGUCCAUGAGUCCAGUGAAAAAUCACUUAGUCUGUACUGGUCCCUGGGGAGACUUUGGAUUUAUUUGGGGAUUUCUUUAGAUCUCAAAGCAUUGUCACUAUGCCCUCAAAGGUAACCUGUGCAUAAGGUUAUCUACCUGAACUCGUUCAGACUUUGCAUCCAACCAUGCAAACUUAUCUCUAUUCUUAUCUUAUCCAUACCUUGUUCUUGCUCACUUUUUACAGAACUCAUUUCCCCUGCUUGGAGUACCUUCCCUUCUCUAACUUUGUCCAUAUUCCCUUUUCCUGGCCUAGUAUUCUCCUAGGGCUUUCCCAAACUCACCCCAGUCUUCACUGUCUGCCCUUAGCAAUAAUGUCUAUAAUCUGACCCAAUGUCGAAUAGGUAGUAGACCUUAGAGCCAGGACCCCUGAUUUCAUGCUCUGUCUACUACAUCACAUGGAUGGAUAUCAGGCCUCUAGUAGAAGGUGUUCCCAUUUCUCUUUCCCCUUCCCAAGACUGUGUGGGGGCAGUGGUCAAGUUCUGUGUUCUCCAUGGCCUAGCCCUGCCAGCUGAUCACCAGUCACUAAUGUUUCCUUUCUGAAGGCUACAUGCGUAUCUUGCCAGGCGUCCGCUGUGUUAUCAGAGCCAAGGGGUGGGAGUGGGAAGGGGCCCGGGGUACAUACCCUUCCUAUAACCACAUCCCCAGAGGGGACGUGCAGGUACUCACGAUGCCCUAGGGGAGUGGACGUGUCUUGCUUACUGUAGCUAGGGACGGUCUGGGUGGCACGGAGGCACUGUCCUCUGAUAAGGGGCAGGAGAGGGGCACAGUGCCCAGGGUUCUGCUUUUCCACAGUAUGGCUCUCUGUACCUACUGCCUGACCCACACAAUUUAGAGCUUAAUUACAUACUAUGUGCCUGAUGUAGUGGAAAGAACAUGAGCCUUUAGGAUCAGAAGAGCUGGGCCCUGCUAUUAACCUAUGUGACCUUGGGCAAGUUCCAUCUCUCUAGGCCUCAGUUUCCACUUGUAUAAAUUGAAGUGGUUAAAGUGAGUGAUUUCUAACGUCCUUUCCAGCCCUGAAUCCUAGAUCCUCCUGGGAAGCUCGUUCCCAUUAUUUUGUGCAUGUAAGGCUUGCCUCCUAGCAGGCUGUAAUUCCUUCAAGAGAAUAGCCACGUUUUGUAUACCUCCUGUAUUCCUUCAGGAUAGUGCUAUGCAGUCCUGCUCUCACAGUUUCUGGGGGGACGUAGUAAACAUUUACAGUGUUAAGGGACACUUACUGAACUGGAUAAAGAUUCCUGUUUUCUCCCUCUUCCCCCUUUUCCCCUGCCCCUAACACUGAGCCCUAGGAUCAUAGUUUUGGAGCUAGGGAUGAGAUACUUUAGAAGGUCAUCUAGUUCAACCCUUUCAUUUCAGAGGUAGGAAAAUUAAGUUUCCUAAAAAGGAAAAUGAUUUUCUUAAGGGCAUCUAGCUAGUAAGUGUUAGAGGCAGGAUUCAAAUCUAGUUUUGACUGCAGAAGCAGUGCUCUUUACAUACAGUAUAACCUUUUUACAUCCUGCUCUCUCUUAUUUGGGUCUUAUAAAUGUGUCUGAAUAUAUACAAAGACAGAAAUGUAAAUGGAAAGAACAACCCAGACAAAAUCAAACAAACAAACAACAAUAACAAAUGAACUUUGUAUAAUUAUAGAGACCGAGUUUGGUCCUGGAGUGGAGCUGAGAAAAUGUACCUUCUUCGUAAAGAAGGUGAGUAGCAUGCAUUGUCACAGGUCCCCUGGAGAGAUGGUGGGUCAUUGCCUCGAUUUUCAGUCUUUGAAGACAGGUGCAUGGACACUUCUAGUGAUGGGAAACUCACUGCCUCACAAAGUAGCCGUUCUCUACCUGGAAAGACUUAUAUGGUCUGAUGCUGAGUGAAGUGAGCAGAACCAAGAGGACUUUGUACACAA